CCGGCGCUGCUGAAUCUACCUUUCGCAGUCGUUUUGGCUCUUGUUAAUGUGUUACCUGCUGUGGUUCCUUGGUGCGUAUGCCUGCUAUAUUGCUUCCACGCCUACCGACAACGUCCGCCCUACCUGCGACGAGCUUCUACGUCUAACGACCGCUUCCUACUUCGCACCCAAUAGAAUUCCUGCAUCGCCGUAGGGGCCUUUCUUCAAGAGGCAGGGGCGCAUCGAAAAAGACCACAUAGUGCGAAGACGUAUCUGUGCAAGUGAACAGACGGGAAAUAAAGUUGUUCAGCGACUGUCGAUCAGUCUCGUCACGUUGAAGACGUCCGGAUGCUGACGAUGAGAGCCACUGCAGACUUUGAAACUCCCAGAUCUUGAACGACAGCGUCGGAUGGACGACAAAGCGUGACACAGGGAUGGCGAGAGGGAAGUGCGCGCCAUUUCAUCGACACGGCCCCUCGUGUGGACUCUGGCACUACGACGACACAAAUCGGGCCAACUCACCGACGUCUACAUAGUUACGUCUCGGCUACGAGGGUCCGUGGUGGCCUCAGCGGCCACCCUUUUGGGGUGGCUUACAAGCCCAAUCCAACACCAGGCGGAGGCCUACCGGCACUGGGGGCUGGCGUUCAGGCACGGGCCGGAGACACCCGGCCAGCUCCUUCAGGUCGUGGAUGCUGGCCCGCAUCCGGCCUCGGGCCGGAUUGUGGCCAGUACUACCUACCAAACGUGGGAGGAGAUCACAGCCACCAGCGAAACCACGAAGCACCUCGGUGCAUUUAACAUCACGAAGGAAGAUGUGAUGAAGGCUGUGGAGAAACUUGGCAACAUGGGUGCAUAUAGCUUGCUCGACCGAAAUUGUCAGUGCUUUACGCGAAGACUGUUGAUGCUGUUGAAGAUACCCCUGCCCAUGGACAUCUUGCCUGCGGAAAGUGUCAUCGUGGAAGCUGUCACCGGAGGAGCACCAAAAGCAGCGCUUGCAUCAUCGGUUUUUUUUGUGAGGUUUGAUUCCGCACAGCUAAAUUGAAUUUUUAUGCAUAUAUUGCCACCAAAAUUUUUGCGCUCAAUCAGAAAGAUAGAUCCGAAAUUUCGCAGUUGAGCCCACACCACUAUGGCAUCGUCACCACCAUUUGUUGUCUCAGCUACAUAAUAGGGAGAAACAUAAUAGGGAGAAACAUAAUAGGGAGAAAAUUCCUUAGGCAUAAACAAUUGCCCUCUCUUCGUGAUAACGAAAUGAAACCAAAAUUGGACAGUUGAUGAACACAGAACCAAAACUAAGAUAAUCAUAUACAGUGUAGGAGGUUGCUGCUUCGCCACUUCUUCCGAGUAGCCAAGAAGACAAGAACCCAACAAGGCUUUUGAAACUCGUCGCUCAAGUCCUUCUCUCCAACAUAUUUUUUUUAAUGUAUUAGCUAAGGCAUUCGAUGUUCCUGUUUGUUAUGGAGACUACACGUAAGCACUGAUUUGCAUGUAGACUACCUACUGUUUGUGAUGUGUCCUCGUUGCAGGAAAGAGCGGUGUUGUGCAAUAAAUCAGCGCUCCUUCUAUGC